AACGUAGGUUCCGAGCGUUAUCCGGAUUUACUGGGCGUAAAGCGCGUUCAGGCGGUUUGGCAAGUCGGGCAUGAAAUCUCUCGGCUCAACCGGGAGAGGUUGUCCGAUACUGCUGGACUUGAGGGCAGUAGAGGGUGGUGGAAUUCCGGGUGUAGUGGUGAAAUGCGUAGAUAUCCGGAGGAACACCAGUGGCGAAAGCGGCCACCUGGACUGUACCUGACGCUGAGGUGCGAAAGCUAGGGUAGCAAACGGG
rnacentral:rRNA from 1 species